GUUUAACACCUGAUGUUUCAAAAUGUUUGCUCGUUACGAGGAUUAAUUGGUAUAAAACUCGUCGUAACUAUGUGGCGGUCGCGGGGAAGCUCUGGCAUUAAAUCUACUGAUCCGUUCGGGCAGCCGCCAGCCAUCCGAUUUAACCAGUAGUUGCAAACUCGUCAAGGCCAAGGUCCCGCGUUUAUACAGGAACCAGCGAGGUCACUAAGGUCUAUGACCCGGUGACUACCCACUACAGAGGCUCAAAGGUUAAACCGAAGAUAUCGGAUGGAAUCUGUUCCCACUGACGCUCUCUCUAGUCGACCAUGGAAAUAUGAGAAGCAAAUGGGCUUUGAAAACAUGCUUGGCCGCCAUUACGUGACCGUCAUUUCUUUUUCACCUUGCGUAAAUCAUCCGUCGGUGUGUCCCCAUAUUUUUCUUGCAUCGCAGGUAUUUGAUGAAUGGACGUUCGUAUUGUGCUGGAGCAGUAAAGGCGCAGUUUAGUCGUAAGCUCACGGUGGCAAGAAAAGAAAAUGACAACUUACAUGUAGCCAGUGACAUGAUGUUCCAUUAUGCACGAUUCCAUCAACGACCGUUUUCAUUGAUGUUUUCCGAAACAGCUCCAAGAAACAGGUAUCAGUAGCUGGAGGGGGACGUCCUGCUGAUACUUUGUGCCCAAAUAUUUAGUCCCUCAAGUCACGUACCGUUUUUCAUCUUUGUUUUUUUUUAGAACGGCUACAAUUUGCAGCUAUCACUUUCUUGAUUGCGACGAAUAGCGGACGUUCCUACGUCUACUGCACUCUAAUUGAUAUCCUUAAGGUCAUCGACCGUUUUGUCUCUUGUUCUUUUCGGCUUGAUUUUUUUUGCGAUCAUAAUUCUUAUUCGAUUCCUAUAUUCCACGAUUUCUCUGUGGGUGUCCGCCUUUUAUCCAAGCCUGUCGACAAUAUCAUUUAUCAUUGUAGCUUAACCACGAGAAAAUAUGCAGCAGCUUUGUUUGCCCAAUGUUCUACGGUUGCGAUAUGGUAAUGUACCAACAGGAGGGACUCAAACGCAUCGAUUUCAUAAAGAACUAGCCGCGCAAUUGGAGAGAUGACGUUGCAGAAAAGGAUGGACCAAUAUAGCCGACCUAUCCAUUGACCGAUAAACGAGAUAUGAUUUCUUAAGGAGAUUUUCGCCAAAAGGAGCAAAAACAACGUUCACCUUUGCAUUUGAAAACAGCCUGUCACAAAGGAUGAUGGUAUUAUCAUGUAAUAGCGAAGCGUUGUCUAAAAAGCAUAUUCUUCCGCAUUGGCCACGUCGCCUGAUGCCUAUAGGAGCCCGCGAUACCCCGACAAGAAUGAUUGGCAUGAAUGCUUCGCAGUUCACAGACGUCAUAAGCAUUUAAGGUAAAUAUUUCAAAAACACAUUUUUUGCAUUGCACAACGCAGCUACCCGGCUGUUUUCUUGCUUGAGGGUUAGUGGUUUAGAUAACCCUUAUCUUGCACAGGUUCUGGAUGUUAACCAGUCGGUUAUUCAUCUAGUCAGAAACCGUGGUUUGAUUCUGUACCUUUUUUUCUGUGCAAUUUUCGUUCAAAUGCUCUGCUAAUUAUUCGACAACCUGUUUCGUCACUUUUUGGCUACCAAAUUUAACAUAGUAUUGACUUUACAGGUCGCGUAGCUAUCGACAUUCUAGCCUCUAGCCAAAGACAAACAUUUAUUUAUCGGCUCUGCAGUCAUUAGUGAUUCGUGUUGCAAUGCUAAAUGUAACUGCAAAAAGUAAUAGGCAAGUAAUGGAAUUCAGUGAAGUUUUUAAGUAUAACUUUAUGCGUAAAGAGGAAUUAAGGGAGGCGAGAUCAAGAUGAAAAGUUUUAUAAGCGGUAGUCGAUUCAUGGUGUACUACAUAGUUUUGCCUAACGACUUGUAUGACAUAUGGCAAUCACAGAGCCGCAAGAAUGUCAAAUUCAAGGAAAACAUGUACUACAAUUAGACGG